rnacentral:rRNA from 1 species
UGGGGAAUAUUGGACAAUGGGCGAAAGCCUGAUCCAGCCAUGCCGCGUGUGUGAAGAAGGUCUUCGGAUUGUAAGGCACUUUAAGUUGGGAGGAAGGGCAGUAAGCGAAUACCUUGCUGUUUUGACGUUACCGACAGAAUAAGCACCGGCUAACUCUGUGCCAGCAGCCGCGGUAAUACAGAGGGUGCAAGCGUUAAUCGGGAUUACUGGGCGUAAAGCGCGCGUAGGUGGUUCGUUAAGUUGAAUGUGAAAGCCCCGGGCUCAACCUGGGAACUGCAUCCAAAACUGGCGAGCUAGAGUAGGGCAGAGGGUGGUGGAAUUUCCUGUGUAGCGGUGAAAUGCGUAGAUAUAGGAAGGAACACCAGUGGCGAAGGCGACCACCUGGGCUCAUACUGACACUGAGGUGCGAAAGCGUGGGGAGCAAACAGG